rnacentral:lncRNA from 1 species
GCUGACCCUCUACUCCAAUCACAUAUACACAACCCCCUACACACAGAGUCCUGCAUUACAAUGAGGGCAAGCUGGGAGUGAGUAUAUUUUCUGUCAUUCUGUGUAUAGCACUGGAAUACUCCUCUCAGAAGAACUGGAGAGCUUAAUUCUUGCUGCUCAUCUACUGCCCUUGCCCCAGCACCCAGCUUCUAAACUCAGAGAACACUUAUGAUGGCAAAAGGCAUCUUUUGAAAGAUUUUAAAGUCAGGAGAGGUCAUGUUCAUGAAGUGCCUGUUCCCUGUCAAUUCUUCAACAUAAUAUUUAGUCAUGUGAGAGUUUUCCCACCUGGAAGCUCCAGUUCACUAAGGAAAAAGCAAACGAGACUGCUGCUUAUAAAAAUGAGAUUGCCUGGGAACAACUGUGGUUCUUCAUUCUGUCAGAUGUGGAGCCUCUACAAGGGACCUACUAGGAUCAUAGAACACAUUCCAGGGCUUCGCAAGCGUCUGGUGUCAGCAUAGCAGGACAGAGACGCCUGUGCUUACCGUUUCCAGCUCUUGUGAAUGAGAAUUGAGCUCUCCCUCCAACCAGUUUUAUUUCCAC